rnacentral:rRNA from 1 species
UACGGAGGGUGCAAGCGUUGUUCGGAAUUAUUGGGCGUAAAGGGCAGGUAGGUGGUCUUGAAAGUCUCCUGUGAAAUCCCCGGGCUCAACCCGGGAAGUGCGGUAGAUACUCCAAGACUAGAGUACUGGAGGGGUUCGUGGAAUUCCCGGUGUAGCGGUGAAAUUCGUAGAUAUCAGGAGGAACACCAGUGGCGAAGGCGGCUUCCUGGACACUAACUGACGCUGAGACGCGAAAGCGUGGGGAGCAAACAGG